AUACGUAGGACCCGAGCGUUGUCCGGGAUUUACUGGGUAUAAAGGGUGCGCGGGCGGAUUUGUGCGUCAGGGGUUAAAUACCUCGGCUUAACCGAGGAGAUGCCUUUGAUACGGCAAGUCUUGAAUGUGAGAGAGGAUGAUGGAAUUCCUGGUGUAGCGGUGGAAUGCGUAGAUAUCAGGAGGAACACCAGUGGCGAAGGCGGUCAUCUGGCUCAUUAUUGACGCUUAGGCACGAAAGCGUGGGGAUC
rnacentral:rRNA from 1 species